rnacentral:misc_RNA from 1 species
GACAGCGCGUAAAAAACUUUUUGACGUUGCGGCUGCAUCUUGUGUUUUUGUCCAUUUUUAAUCGUUUCAGUCACCUUCCCCGGAUAAAUUGUAGACUUUUUUGCUCCUUUAUACACCUAAUCAUUUAAUGAAAUUUUUAAGAUGGAGAUCAAAAGUGACUUGGAUUUGAGUGGUAAAUUAAUAAUUAAGGUACAACUAGGAGAUGAUAUUAGGCGAAUUCCAAUCCACAACGAAUCUUUAACUUACGAUGAACUGGUUUUAAUGAUGCAGAGGGUAUUUAGAGGCAAAUUAUCAGCGAAUGAUGACAUCACAAUUAAAUACAAAGAUGAAGAUGGUGAUCUUAUAACGAUAUUCGAAAGUAACGAUUUAUCUUUCGCUAUACAAUGCAGUCGAAUUUUGAAAUUACAAAUUUUAUUAAAUUCCGAUCUGAAAAACGAUUCUGCUAGUGCUUUAUCAUCGACUGAAGUAACUAAUCUGAAAAAACAACUAAGAAAUAUAAGGGAUCAAGUGAAUACCUUACUGGAUACGAUAGAUGUACAUGAAAAUAAGACACUUAACAGUGGUCUUCAAGAAACUGGAGAUACAUCAAACUUAGAUCUGAAUCAAUCUAGUUCUUCUUUAAAUAAGGUCAACUCGAGCGAGUUUGAUCCAUUGCAAGAUAAAGGCCAGAAGAACGGCACCGAAGACGCAAAAGACUCUUCCAAGCCAUCCACUCCACAGAUUAACAAUGAAGGUAAUUUAACUAAACAAAAAUCGAAUCGCGCUGGUAGUAGACCGCAGUCAGUAUCUAUGGCGACCACUCCUGGUCAACAGUCCGUGGUGACAUCGGCAGCUAAUCCUCAUGGUAUAACGGACUAUUUUGGUCGUUCAUCUAGUGCUACUAACUUCCCAGGAAUGCAGUACAGUUCAUUACCCUAUCCUCAACAGUAUAACUUCCAAUCAACAGGACGUUACGUCCCCCAAGUGAUGGAUAGCUCCCAAGUUCCGAGUUCCAACGCUUACUCGAACCCACCGCAAGGAAGCCUUUCCUAUCCACAGCAGCAACAGUACGGACACCCACCAGUAGUGUACCCCGCUUCAGCCCAAGGCAACCCCUACUCGAAGGGAUUCACCCAGCCCUCGCCGCAGCACGGUUUCAUGCCACCACGUCAAUAGACGACUAACUAUUUCUAUUGAGACUAUUUUAGACCAGUCUGUGAAAAGACUCGAACGUGAGUAAGUUCCGUCUAGCAAUUGAUAAUUUUUGUUUGGAUCGAGUCGUUUUUGACUAAGGGAAAUCAAAUUUGGAGGUUACGUUUUAAGUUUAUUUGGAGCUUAAGUUAUUUUAUAGACCAUUCCAGAGCGACCUCAUUUGACAGCGUAUGAGGGGCAAACAUUCGUAAACAAAGUACGUUUAGUGCAGAAAACCAUUGUUUACUUUAAGAAUGUCAUUAAAAUGCCGGCGUUUUGUUCAGUUCCAACAGUGUUCCAGUAGAGGUGAAAGAGAUACGGUGAUGUUUUUUAAAAUACCUGCCGCAUUUAAAGAUCGCGGUGAUGUUUAAAUGUACUUUCAAAAGAACGAUGAGAGUUGUGGGUCAAAGCUUUAAAAAGGGGCCCUUUAUCCGAACGUUUCUUGAAGAAUGCGAGAAUAUGUUUCAGGCAUUUUAUAAAAGGUAAGGUACUAGAUAAACUUAAAAAAGAUUUUCAUUCUGAAUAUAUGGAGUUUUACAUUCCCUGUGAGGGUGUUACAAUAUCCAAUAUUUGACAUUUUUGCAGUAAUCACAGAUUUUUAAUAAUAAAACGAGAAAAAAUCAAAUAGAACACUGAAAACUUAAAAGCAAUGUUUGCUUGCCCCUCGGCGAUGCUGUCGAAAGUCUCGUGACCUGGAAUGGCCAAUUGUUUUCGAUAAGUCUAUUUCAUUUUAAUGAUAUAGGUAGAUUAGUGAAUGGAUUGGGAAGAUUUCGGGGAUGAUUUUUUAAUGAAAAAUAUUUGGAAAGAUGUUUGCCUUCUAGCAUGAUCUCCAUCUGUAGAUCUGUCUCAUUUGAUCAACAGCAAAACCAUCUUGAUGGUAUAUAAGUAUUUUUUACGAUGAUUUGGGAACUGGGAUAGGAAACCCAGCUGCAUUCCAGUGUUGCCGGAUAGACCAAAAAACCAAUGUAUAUUUGAAUCCUGGUGUCCAAAGAACCAUUAAAACUUCAAAAUUUUGUGAACUGACUAAUUUAUUAUUAACAAAUCAUUCUACAAAUUUCCUAAUCUAUUUUACCAAAACUUGAUAUAAAGUGUACAUGUUAACAUCUAUUUUUGGAAAGAUUUAGGAGUACUAAUGAGUUGACAAAGAGAAAUCUAUUCAAACUUAAAACGGGAUACUACCCGAAGGUUGGCUGUAUACCAUCUAGUUAAAUAAAAUUAACAUGAAGUAAAACUCCCUAGUGUAGUUGGUAUAUUUAAUAAAAAUUUAAAAAAAAAUCCAAAACGAUUACGUUCAUAACGUUUUCGGACUUAUCAGUCCAUCAUCAGUGAAACUAAAAGUAAGUACUAAUCUCACUUAAUAAAAUUGAAAAGGGUGAAAUUUUGAAUGUUAGAAAUUGAAAAGUGUGGUUAAGAUUACUUACUUUCUUCUGUCCUUACUAAAUAGCUACAAUGUCAAACACUGGUUAAAAUCUGGUUAACACUGGUUAAGAACAUACAUCUUAACCAGUGUUUGGCAUUGUGGGUAUUUAGCAAGGACAGAGAGUAAGUAAUCUUAACCACACUUUUCAAUUUUUAACAUUCAAAAUUUCACCCUUUUCAAUUUUAUUAAGUGAGAUUACUUACUUACUAAAGUAAAAGUAGAUGAAGAACUAACUGACCCAAUUGAAGCUGGCAGUGGGAUAAGACAGGGAGAUUCCCUGAGUCCUCUGUUGUUCAACCUGAUCAUGGACGAAAUAAUAAAAAAGUAAGAACAAAAAAGGAUACCAAAUGGGAGAAAAACAACUUAAAAUAAUCUGCUAUACAGACGACGCAAUACUAAUCUCUCAAAUUGAAGAUGAUUUACAACAUAUGCUGCACGAAUUUAAUAUAACCGCUAGAAAAUUUAACAUGUUAAUUUCAUCAAAAAAAGACUAAAUGCAUGGUUAUAACAGCAGAUCUGAUAAGGUGUAAAUUAGAGCUGGAGGGUCAAAUAAUAGAACAAGUCGUGGAGUUUAAAUAUCUAGGCAUCACACUAUGCAGCUACGGAAAGCUCGAAACAGAAGUGGAAGAUCAGGUGAAUAAAGCAAACAGAGCCGCAGGUUGCCUGAAUGAAACAAUAUGGAGAAAUAAAAACAUCGGAAAAGAAGUGAAAGGCAGAAUUUACAAAACAGUCAUCAGACCAAUUAUGACAUACGCGGCAGAAACAUGACCUGAUACAGAAAGGACAAAAAGAAUGCUAGAAGCAGCACAGAUGAAAACAUUGCGAAAAAUCGAUGGUAAGAUGCUGUGGGAUAGAGCUAGAAGUGCAGACUUUGCAAGGUGGACAACAUUAAUAACUGGGUGAAAAGCAGAAGAGUAGAAUGGAACGACCACAUAAGCCGAAUGACAGCAAAUAGAGUAGUAAGGACGGCGAGAGACGGCUCCCCAAUAGGAAGACGAUCAGUGGGAAGACCACGAAAAAGAUGGAAUGACAACUUACUGGAGGCACAUUGAAAAACAGACAGAGUAAUGUCUAUAUAAAAAGAAGAAGAAGAGAUUACUUUUAGGUUAACUGAUGAUGGACUGAUAAGUCCGAAAACGUUAUGAACGUAAUCCUUUUGGAUUUAAAAAAAAAUUUAAUUUUUAUUAAAUAUACCAACUACACUAGGGAGUUUUACUUCAUGUUAAUUUUAUAGAAAUCUAUUCCGUAAUUAAUUUGGAUCCUAGUACAUUCUGACUUAACCUGUAUAUAAAUGUAUUGAGUUAAAAGAUCUUAGGCUCGAUGCACAUUUGCGUAUUUUCAAGUUGCGUGCACGCUGCUUGUUUUCAAGCCAAGUUUCCCGUCAACACACAUUUGAGUGGUUUCUCGGGGUCAAUACACGCCAGAAAUAAACAACUGUGCAUCUACGUUGAAAUCGAUCGCGCGGUCAACGUGUACUCACUGAUUGCCCAACAUAGACUUCCAAACCGCCUGACUUGUAGUGAUGUUGAUUUUAAUUACUUUCGAGUAUUCGUUACAAAUCGUUACUUUUCAAUAAAGUAAUCAUUUACAUUACAAUAUUCGUUACUUUGAUUACUAUGAUUACUUUUGUAUUUGAGUACCGGUGAUCAUAAUAUGAGGUAAUCAUGAUAUUAUCGAAAAUCGUAUUUCUCAGUAGGUAGGUAUUGUGUAUAGGUACAUAUUCCGAUAUAACAAAUAAUUAUUUACAGUAUUCGUUACUUUGACUACUAUGAUUACUUUUGUAUUUGAGUACCGGUAAUCAUAUCGAAAAUCGUAUUUCUCAAUAGGUAGGUAUUUUGUAUGUCCCCCCUAAAUGCCCUGGUCUAAUUCUAAUAAAACCAAUGCAAUACAUACAAAAUUAAAGUUGUUGAUCAUACUGUAGAAACAUUAUUAUUUCCACAUUUUUCCGGUCAGUCUAAAAAGUAAUCAAGUGUACUGGUUGUAGAUACAAUAGUCGUUACUCGCUCUGAUACGACUGGUAUGAAGUAACGAAGUAAUCAGAGUAAUCAAAGUAGAUACAAUAGUCGUUACUCGCUCUGAUACGAUUGGUACGAAGUAACGAAGUAAUCAGAGUAAUCAAAGUAGAUACAAUAGUCGUUACUCACUCUAAUACCAUUGGUACGAAGUAACGAAGUAAUCAGAGUAAUCAAAGUAAACAAAGUAGAUACGAUAGUCGUUACUCGCUCUGAUACGAGUAAUCAAAGUAGAUACAAUAGUCGUUAGAAGUAACGAAGUAAUCAGAGUAAUCAAAGUAACGAUUUGUCUCUCUUUAUAGUAAUCGUUACUUUCGGUAUUCGUAAGUAACGAUUACUUUGUAACGAAUAGUUACUUUUUCAACAUCACUACUGACUUGUUUUCAAGCCGCGUGCAUGUGGCGGCGUAGCAGAAACUGGCGUGCUGUCGGUCCACGCGGCUUGCAAGUCACUUGCACCCCGCGGCUCAGCUCGAGUGUGCAGUGAAUGAAUUCAACUUAUGUACUGCUGAACCGCAAGCGAUCGCACGUGGCUUGCUCGCAGCUUGAAAACACGCAAAGGUGUAUCGAGCCUUAUUAACCUAGGUAUUAAAAGAAUUAUUUAGUUUAAGAAGAAAGUCUGAAAUUAUGAUGAAAUCGACGGAUUUGUAACUGAUGUUACUCGACUGGAUUUGUGGUAGGAUAUUUAGGUAAUUUUUUAUUGAAAGACUUUUAUUUAUAUAAAGUUAUAUUAAAUCAUGAUAUACUUAACGUAGUUAUAGUAGAAUAGUCUUGGAGAAGCUAGGACAACUAAUCCCCGGACAAAUAUUCCCGGACAAAAAAUCCCCACAAAUUAUCCCCGGACAAAAAAUCCCCAUAAAUAAUCCCUACAAAUAAUCACCGGACAAGAAAUCCCCACAAAAUAUCCCGGACAAAUAAUCCCCACAAAUUUUUUUGGACAAAAUAUCCCCAAGAAAUAUUUGCUGCCGAAUAUUUCUCUAAAAGAUUUUCCGUGAAUGCAAUGAACGCAAACGUUUUUCAACCUCAGUGCAUGAGAGUUAUAGCAAUCACCAUAAAACCUGUUUUGGGCACGAAAAUAAUAUUUAUUUUUUAUUUAUUAAGGGCAACAGACCUUGUAGGCCUAAGGCUAAAAUGUUUACAUUUCUGAUUACAUAAAUAAUAUAAUAAAUAACUUAAUAUAACUUACAUAACUUAUAAAACUUAUAAAUUUUAUUUAAUUACACUUCAGUUUUUUUAUACACUCCUUCACCACCUCUCUCCAUCUCCUUCUGUCCAAUGCUAGUUCUUUCCAUCUCUCAAUGUUACUUUUCUUCAAGUCUUCAUACACACUGUCCUUCCAUCUUUUCCUUGACCUGCCUUUCCUCCUCUUUUGUAUUGGUCUUCGUGAGAGUACCAUUUUUGGCAUUCGUUUACUUCCCAUUCUCUCGAUGUGCCCCAAGUAUCGUGUUCUCUGUGCUUUGAUCGUCGUCGUGAUCGUUAGCUGUUGAUAUAGUUCUUCCAAUUCUUUAUUGGUUCUUCUUCUCCACUGACCUAUUUUCACACCUCCAUAUAUAUAUAUUGCUCUUUGCAUUUUUCUCUCCCAUCUUUCUAAAAGGUCUGUUUCUGACUUUUUGACUUCUGACUUCCAAUAAAUCACCAUAAAACCUGUUUUGGGCACGAAAAUAAUGAUUAACAAAUACAAUUAAGCAUGCAUUUUAAUUUCCAUUACCAAAUUUCGAAUUGCAAUUGUUGAGUUUUUUGGCUGUGGGAAUCAUAUUGUAAUUAUUCGCUUAAAUCUUUUGCUCACCUUGCUUUGAACAACUCUGUUUAAAACAUUGCCUAUUCAUAAUGAUAACUGCUGGUCCUGAAAACGAUAGUCUUGAUUCUAAUGCAAAAAACCUGUACCUUUUUGGUUUGAUUUUUGGAUAAAUUUUUAUGGAUGCACACAUAUCCCCAAUAAUUACAUUUUUUAAAAACCGGAUAAAGAAUAGUAUUGCCCAUAAAUUUGUUCCUAAAAGCAUCAAAAAGUUAAAGAUAAUCGAAAAGCUUUGUAUAACUUUCCUCGCGAUGCGUUGUUCUGGCAUUGGCAUUGAAAUUAGUGGAAAUUUCAAUUGUUUUGAUACAUACAAAAUCGUAUACUGAUAUAUCUGCUCUCAUGCACUAAGGCUGAAAAACAUUUGCAUCGAUUGCAUUCACAGAAAAACUUUCAGAGGAAUAUUUGGCGGCAAAUAUUUCUUGGGGAUGUUUUGCGGGGAUAUUUUGCCCAAAAAAAUUUGGGGAUUAUUUGUCCGGGAUUUUUUGCUACCAAAAAAAGUUAAGUUUUCCAUUUUAGAGGGGGUGAGCGAGUACAAAUUUUCAAAAAUCGUUUUUUGUUUUAGCGCCAUCUAUCCAUAAUUCGAAUAAAUGUCUCGAAUAAAAGUUACUUAUUUUUACGUAAAUAAUCCAAAUCUGCAGUAAAAAUUAGGAAUUCCUCUUUAAGAUUUUAAAGUAACCCGCCACCACACGUCCAUGGGGGUCGUGUUUGGUGUCAUUCGAUAAAUUUUUGAAAAAUAUUGAACACGUGUUUUUCAGUUUUUCGAUCUGAUGUUCAUUUCGCGAAUUAUCGCGGGAGUUCUUUAAGAUUUUAAAGUUACACCACCCCACCUCCGUGGGGGGUCGUGUUUGGUAUCAUUCGAUAGAUUUUUGAAAAAUAUUAAACAUAUUUUUCAGUUUUUUUAACUGAUGUUCAUUUCGCGAAAUAUUCGCUUUUUUGUGAAACUUUGUGAUACCCAUUUCCCUACGCUCCGCUCAAAUCGUCAGAUAUUUGAAAUAUACACUGCUCUUCAUGUACUCAACUUACCUUGUCUUGUUCUGAUGUUGCGAGUUUUUCUAAGGAUAGAUUUUUUUACGGACUGCCCCCAACGCACGCCCCUGUAUUGAGAGUCCUUAUAUGUUAGGGGUACAAUUACAGGGUAAGAGGUUUUCUGACACGCUCGAGGAACGCGCAAAAUCCUCGCUUGGGCUCCCCUACCGUUAUAUUAUUCAACAUUUUAUAUCUUGUUUGUUAAAUUUUUGUUAUACAAAAUCGCUUCCAAAUAAUCAUUCGAAAUGAUUUUCUGUUUUCGUUGCUGUAAACUGAUCUUAAAGGCACUUUUUAUUGUUUUGGUAGGCAAUUGUUAGUUUUAUUAUUGUUUUUAUCUACUUUUAUGGUAUUUUAUUUACCACGUUUUAUAUACUUCGGCUGUUCUUUGUCUGCCUCAUUAUCACUUUGUCCGGGAAAAUCUUUUAAUCGGUUUUAAACGUGCUUCCCGACUAGCUAGAGAUCUGAAAUUUUCAGAAUAGUUCAGAACUCGAUGACAAUGCAAUAUUCAACAACUUUUACAUUUAUGCAUUGAGUUUUAUUUGGAAUUUUAAGCGAUUUUAAUUUUGUAUGGUAAAAUUAGUUCUCACUUUUCUGAAAAGAUGGCGCUACUAGUUUUUUCAAUAAAUGGCGUUACUUUAUAUGUCAUGUAAAAUAUUCUAUUCGUUUGGAAUAAUAAUAGCUAAUGAAUAUUAAAAAUUGUCUCGCUAGUUUGUUUACUUAACCCGCCGUUACACGCGUCUUCUAUUCGGACGUGGUUGCACGCGUAUGAGCGUCGCCCUCACCUACAAAGUUCGACUUAUUUCGAGGAAGAAUGAAUGUCAACAUGGAUAAAUAUAAAAUGGGUUGUACUCUCAUAUUAUAGAAAGUCUCGUAUGCCAACUUUUUUUAUUAAUUUAACAAAACAAAAGUAAAAAUAAUAUACAUAGAUCAAAAGCAAGUUUUCUUAAUUUUCAAUUUCAGCAAGCCACUGAAGAAAUUAACGUUCUUUACGCGAAUUCAUUUUACUAAAAAUACAAAUUAAAAUUAACAACUGUUCUGAAGCUAUUUCUUUGUGGUAUUUAUGUAAUUAACUAUUAAUAUUUUGUAUUUUGAUAACGACGUCCGAGGUGGAAUUCGAAACGUCAAUAAAAUCAAUUUUUCAAGUUAAAUUGUGGCUUAUUUCCCAAUUAGAAUAGGUAAAUUUAAAAAUGGGUUCUUAACCAGUGGCGCACCUAGAAUUUUCCUCUGGGGGGAGGGGGGUUAGCUUGGGCACCGAGAGUUUUUUGUAUUAUUUGUGAACGACAAGUUACAUUUUCCUACUUUCUUUUAUAUAUAUUUCUAUAUGCUCUGGGUGGGAUUUUAACCCCUAAACCCCCCGCUCGGUGUGCCACUGUUCCUAACCUAAUCCAAACAAUAAUAUUUUAAUUAAACCUACCUAAAUAUUAAAUAAAAACCUAAAAGUUUCUUUGAGAUAACAGAAACGUGAUUUCACCGUGAUUGCACGCGCAGUGAGGAAUUCCCUCACUUGAAGAGGGAUGUCUCUUCUUUCAACUAUCACACAGCACACUGACCGCCAGAAAUAUUCUAUAACUUUUUCAUACCCUCUCAUGAACCAUGUUAAAGGCAUUCCUGGGUGCUUAAGGUCAUCGUAUUAGUUUACACAAUUUCAUUGGUUAUAAACAAAUAUGGUGAGGGAUUCCCUCAUAGCGCGUGUAAUGGCGGGUUAAAAAAUUCUCAAAAAUAAAUGUGGUAAUUAUAUUGUGUCCUAUAAAUAAUAAAAAUGUGGUAUUAUAAAAACUUAUUUUUUAUAAAAGUGUAAUUAUUUCCAAUAGCUUUCUCAUUUUUUAACAUUUGUUGUAAAUGUCUAGGAUUUUUUGAACCCCUAGUUCAAUAUUUCCUCUCUUUUUAGCACUACAGAGGAAAUGGCAACUCUUCAUCCCAGUGGCGUAUCUAAACAUUUGGUUUGGGAGGUGAAAUUUACCUUAGGGGAACUUCCAAUGAAACACCAACCAAAAGACAUAAAAAAGAUAAACCCAAACUACAUAAAAGACAUAAAUAAUAACUUAUAUACAUUAAGUUUCUUUAAUUUUCCCAACUAGCGGGUUUAUUGGGUUGAAUUUUUCUGUCUGUGGUUUAAGUUUCAUGUCAGGUUUAUUUAUGUGUCAACAAUUUUUUUUCUUUAAUUUUGACCUUGUUAUGGGGAAAAUUUUCCCAUUUUCUCUCUCCGUAGAUCCGCCACUGCUUCAGGCUUCGACUAUAAAUCGUUACGUAUAUCAUGAAUUAAACGCCAUUUUAAUAAUUUUUUAUGACUACAUUCAACUUUGACUUCCUUUCAAAGGAAUUCGUGAUUCAGACGAAUUGUUCGACGUAAUUUAGGCUUGUUUUCGUACACACAGACUCACCUACUUUUUAUCUAAAAUUUAUUUAAGAUUUUAAAACCUUUUAGUGGUCGUUUAAAGAGGACAAAUUUGUACGUUAAACUGAUGAUGAUAUUAAAUGUUAUUUUUAAUCGUUUUAUGUAUGAUGAUUGCAUUUUUACUAUCUAUUCUGAUGAUGCUCUAGAAUGUAAGCAAUAAAUAAAUUAAUAUUUU